rnacentral:tRNA from 1 species
GGGCGGUUAGCUCAGUUGGUUAGAGCGCUUCGUUGACAUCGAAGAGGUCAGAGGUUCGACUCCUCUAUCGCCCACCC